UGGGGAAUUUUGGACAAUGGGGGAAACCCUGAUCCAGCCAUCCCGCGUGUGCGAUGAAGGCCUUCGGGUUGUAAAGCACUUUUGGCAGGAAAGAAACGUCAUGGGUUAAUACCCCGUGAAACUGACGGUACCUGCAGAAUAAGCACCGGCUAACUACGUGCCAGCAGCCGCGGUAAUACGUAGGGUGCAAGCGUUAAUCGGAAUUACUGGGCGUAAAGCGUGCGCAGGCGGUUCGGAAAGAAAGAUGUGAAAUCCCAGAGCUCAACUUUGGAACUGCAUUUUUAACUACCGGGCUAGAGUGUGUCAGAGGGAGGUGGAAUUCCGCGUGUAGCAGUGAAAUGCGUAGAUAUGCGGAGGAACACCGAUGGCGAAGGCAGCCUCCUGGGAUAACACCGACGCUCAUGCACGAAAGCGUGGGGAGCAAACAGG
rnacentral:rRNA from 1 species